GGAGGAAGGUGGGGACGACGUCAAGUCAUCAUGGCCCUUACGUGUAGGGCUACACACGUGCUACAAUGGCAUUUACAGAGGGAAGCGAGACAGUGAUGUGGAGCGGACCCCUUAAAGAAUGUCGUAGUCCGGAUUGGAGUCUGCAACUCGACUCCAUGAAGUCGGAAUCGCUAGUAAUCGCAGGUCAGAAUACUGCGGUGAAUACGUUCCCGGGCCUUGUACACACCGCCCGU
rnacentral:rRNA from 1 species